GGGGAAUAAGGUUUCUGCAAAUGCUUUUUUUGUACUUUUUUUAUAUUUUUGACGGUUUGUAAGUCAGUAAAAGUUCAAUGAUUAAGUUAAUAUUGACAUUAAAAGACCGCCUCAUAAAAAGGGCUGUUCAAAUCCCCUCGCCCUUCGGGCUCGGGAAUCUGAACACCCCUUUUUAUUUUGAGGUCUUUUAAUAACAAUAUUAACUUAUCAUUGAAUUUUUACUAUUACGAAAAACAAGAUGGGUGUCACAUGUGGAAAAGAAACUGCUUACCUGAGAUCACCCCCUUUUUUUGGUGGGGUUCAUGUUGCUCAGUCUUUUGUUUUCUCUGUUGUGUCUUAUGUGCUGUUGUUUUUUGUCUUUUUUUAACCAUGGUGUUGUCAGUGUAUUUUUUAUCAAUGUGCUUGACUGUCCCUCUGGUAUCUCUUGCCGCUCUUUUAUGAAAGUAUCGUUUAAUUUUGCCUUUAUUCAAUUUUAAGGUAUAUAAGUAUAGACUUUUGAAACAGAAUUUUUUAUAAUUUGCCAAAAUG
rnacentral:lncRNA from 1 species